AGCCAGACUCCUACGGGAGGCAGCAGUGGGGAAUAUUGCACAAUGGGGGAAACCCUGAUGCAGCGACGCCGCGUGAGUGAAGAAGUAUUUCGGUAUGUAAAGCUCUAUCAGCAGGGAAGAAAAUGACGGUACCUGACUAAGAAGCCCCGGCUAACUACGUGCCAGCAGCCGCGGUAAUACGUAGGGGGCAAGCGUUAUCCGGAUUUACUGGGUGUAAAGGGAGCGUAGACGGCAUGGCAAGUCAGAUGUGAAAGCCCGGGGCUCAACCCCGGGACUGCAUUUGAAACUGUCAGGCUGGAGUGCAGGAGAGGUAAGUGGAAUUCCUAGUGUAGCGGUGAAAUGCGUAGAUAUUAGGAGGAACACCAGUGGCGAAGGCGGCUUACUGGACUGUAACUGACGUUGAGGCUCGAAAGCGUGGGGAGCAAACAGGAUUAGAUACCCUGGUA
rnacentral:rRNA from 1 species